UCUUGGGUCAUUUAGAGGAAGUAAAAGUCGUAACAAGGUCUCCGUAGGUGAACCUGCGGAGGGAUCAUUACAAGUGACCCCGGUCUAACCACCGGGAUGUUCAUAACCCUUUGUUGUCCGACUCUGUUGCCUCCGGGGCGACCCUGCCUUCGGGCGGGGGCUCCGGGUGGACACUUCAACUCUUGCGUAACUUUGCAGUCUGAGUAAACUUAAUUAAUAAAUUAAAACUUUUAACAACGGAUCUCUUGGUUCUGGCAUCGAUGAAGAACGCAGCGAAAUGCGAUAAGUAAUGUGAAUUGCAGAAUUCAGUGAAUCAUCGAAUCUUUGAACGCACAUUGCGCCCCCUGGUAUUCCGGGGGGCAUGCCUGUUCGAGCGUCAUUUCACCACUCAAGCCUCGCUUGGUAUUGGGCAACGCGGUCCGCCGCGUGCCUCAAAUCGACCGGCUGGGUCUUCUGUCCCCUAAGCGUUGUGGAAACUAUUCGCUAAAGGGUGUUCGGGAGGCUACGCCGUAAAACAACCCCAUUUCUAAGGUUGACCUCGGAUCAGGUAGGGAUACCCGCUGAACUUAAGCAUAUCAAUAAGCGGAGGA
rnacentral:rRNA from 1 species